UACGUUCCCGGACCUUGCACACACCGCCCGUCAAGCCAUGGGAGCCGGGUGUACCUAAAGUCGGUAACCGCAAGGAGCUGCCUAGGGUAAAAUCGGUGACUGAGGCU
rnacentral:rRNA from 1 species